rnacentral:rRNA from 1 species
UUCGAGUGGCAGACGGGUGAGUAACGCGUGGGUAACCUGCCUUACACAGGGGGAUAACACCUGGAAACAGGUGCUAAUACCGCAUAAGCGCACAGGGCCGCAUGGCCCGGUGUGAAAAACUCCGGUGGUGUAAGAUGGACCCGCGUCUGAUUAGCUUGUUGGCGGGGUAGGGGCCCACCAAGGCGACGAUCAGUAGCCGGCCUGAGAGGGUGGACGGCCACAUUGGGACUGAGACACGGCCCAAACUCCUACGGAAGGCAGCAG